AUGCAGGCUGAAGUUCUCAAAAUCACUGUUGGACAACUCCUUGAGAUCGAGCCCAUGCCCGUGCUUAGAGAGGAUGAAAUAAAACGGAAAUAUGUCCGGGGCCAACCUUUGGUCGAGCCAGACAAGGUCAAGAACCUCCCAACGAGAAUGUAUGAAUUGCAUCAAUGGUACAUGAACAUUACCAAGAUUUCCGAUCGAUUGUCCCUCAUGGUGAAUGUCAAGGAGGAGCAUUACUACCAUGAGAAAGAUGUGUCCAUUGAGUAUUAUGAACUGUUUCAGUUAUACAAUCAAGACGCACUCGAAAAAUCUAUCGUCAGUUGCUAUUGUCUGAUGAAGAUGUAUGAAAUGAGAAAAGGUGGACGCUAUGGCAUUGGGUUCAUUGACCUAAACACCGUUAAUGAAUACACAUGGAAAAUAGAUGAACGUCAUCAAAAGGCCGUAGAGGACAGCAUGCUAGAGUUCUUGAAGAGCCUCAAAUACAAUGAAGAUAUACUACUUCCUUACAACUUCCAAUUUCACUGGGUCUUGUGUAUCAUUAAAGUUGACGUCGGAACAGUUGAAAUACUGGACUCACUACUCAAAGAAAAAACUGACUAUAACAUCUUGUUUGGGAUAGUCAACAGGGCUUGGGCAAGGUUCAUCAGGGUCACGGAAGGCGAAUGGAAAGAAAAGCUUAAAUGGGGAAGACCCAAGGCCCUGAAGCAGGCGCAGGGGACUGAUCUGUGUGCAUUCUGCGUUUGCGAGAACAUUUGCAUGAUGGCGUCCGAAAGGAGCAGAUCUCAAAGACAGGAAUGGUUUAGAGAGGUGCGGGCGAAGCUCCUAGAAACGGAGCGCGUAGAAGCACUUCAAGAGGAAAUAGCGGGAUUUUUGCUCGACCAGGUCAUAAAUCCGAAGGGAGAACUAUUACCCGCUACCGCCCCCAUGAAAACCACUUCCAAUUGUCAUCGUGCUCCGAAGGCACCAAUUAGGCUAUAA
rnacentral:rRNA from 1 species